rnacentral:rRNA from 1 species
GGGGAGCGAACACGAUUAGAUACCCUGGUAGUCCAUGCCGUAAACGUUGGGCACUAGGUGUGGGGCACAUUUCCAGUUUUCCGCGCCGUAGCUAACGCAUUAAGUGCCCGCCUGGGGAGUACGGCCGCAAGGCUAAAACUCAAAGGAAUUGACGGGGGCCCGCACAAGCGGCGGAGCAUGCGGAUUAAUUCGAUGCAACGCGAAGAACCUUACCAAGGCUUGACAUGGACCGGAUCGCUGCAGAGAUGUAGUUUCCCUUCGGGGCUGGUUCACAGGUGGUGCAUGGUUGUCGUCAGCUCGUGUCGUGAGAUGUUGGGUUAAGUCCCGCAACGAGCGCAACCCUUGUCCUAUGUUGCCAGCACGUAGUGGUGGGGACUCAUGGGAGACUGCCGGGGUCAACUCGGAGGAAGGUGGGGAUGACGUCAAAUCAUCAUGCCCCUUAUGUCUUGGGCUUCACGCGUGCUACAAUGGCUGGUACAGUGGGUUGCGAUCCUGUGAGGUGGAGCUAAUCCCUAAAAGCCGGUCUCAGUUCGGAUUGAAGUCUGCAACUCGACUUCGUGAAGUUGGAGUCGCUAGUAAUCGCAGAUCAGCAAUGCUGCGGUGAAUACGUUCCCGGGCCUUGUACACACCGCC